GGUCUGGAAAGAGAUUAAAGAAAACCCGUAAGUAUGACAUCAUCACCACGCCGGCCGAGCGAGUAGAAAUGGCCCCACUGAAUGAAGAGGAUGAUGAGGACGAGGACUCCACAGUGUUUGACAUCAAAUACAGGUAAAACCAGUUUUCCCAGCAUGUUGGCACCUCACGGACAGUUGGUCAGCGGCCGCCUGGGGAAGGAAGGUUCUGGGAGCUUCUCCCAUCCGAGGUGUUGAAACCUAAACACACGUCAUUUAUGAAACUCCGGCUCCGUUGUGUGUGUCCCGCCUCAGCUCAGUGACACCAUGAAGCCUGCUUCCAAAUCUCCACACGAGAGCCACCUCUGCCACAUUUUGGACACAACCUUUACGACAUUACUGUUCCCUUUCCCUCCUUUGUGAGGUCUUUCUAUGCCUUACGAAGGGGUGAAGGGCAGGAACAUGUUGAUUUUCUAAAAAUAAUAAUUUUUUUAAAGCGACUGUGGACCAUAGAGAAAAAGACCAGCAGGAUAAAGAAUCUAAAAGAAGCCUGAAGAAUAUUCAGCUG